rnacentral:rRNA from 1 species
UGCUGACGAGUGGCGGACGGGUGAGUAAUGUCUGGGAAACUGCCUGAUGGAGGGGGAUAACUACUGGAAACGGUGGCUAAUACCGCAUAACGUCGCAAGACCAAAGAGGGGGACCUUCGGGCCUCUUACCAUCAGAUGUGCCCAGAUGGGAUUAGCUUGUUGGUGAGGUAACGGCUCACCAAGGCGACGAUCCCUAGCUGGUCUGAGAGGAUGACCAGCCACACUGGAACUGAGACACGGUCCAGACUCCUACGG